UACUUGAACCAAUCCUUUUCCGAAUGAACGUCUACCUAUGAUAGUUCCCUUGUCAUUGUCUUGUAAAGCUCCAGCAACAAUUUCUGAGGCAGAAGCAGAGUUUUCAUCAAUUAAAACAUAAAGUUUUCCUUUUUCAAAAGCACCACCUUUUGUUGCGAAAUAUUCUUCAAUUUUUCCUUUAUUAUUUUUUGUAAAUACAAUGAGAGUAUCGUCUUCUAAAAAUUCAUCAACAAUAUCAUUAGCAAUAUCGAUAAAACCCCCACCGUUAC
rnacentral:ncRNA from 1 species